UACGUAGGGGGCAAGCGUUGUCCGGAUUUAUUGGGCGUAAAGAGCUCGUAGGCGGCUUGUCGCGUCGUCCGUGAAAACUCACAGCUCAACUGUGAGCUUGCGGUCGAUACGGGCAGGCUAGAGUUCGGUAGGGGAGACUGGAAUUCCUGGUGUAGCGGUGAAAUGCGCAGAUAUCAGGAGGAACACCGGUGGCGAAGGCGGGUCUCUGGGCCGAUACUGACGCUGAGGAGCGAAAGCGUGGGGAGCGAACAGG
rnacentral:rRNA from 1 species